rnacentral:rRNA from 1 species
UACGUAGGUGGCAAGCGUUGUCCGGAAUUACUGGGCGUAAAGCGUGCGCAGGCGGUUUUGUAAGCCAGAUGUGAAAUCCCCGGGCUUAACCUGGGAAUGGCAUUUGGGACUGCAAGGCUGGAGUACGGCAGAGGAGACUGGAAUUCCUGGUGUAGCAGUGAAAUGCGUAGAGAUCAGGAGGAAUACCGAUGGCGAAGGCAGGUCUCUGGGCUGAUACUGACGCUCAUGCACGAAAGCGUGGGGAGCAAACAGG